ensembl:lncRNA
GUCGGGCCGCUCCGCCGCGCUCCGGGCAGCGGUACCCGCGGCUUCGCGGCACCGGGCGGGAGGGAUGGGGAGCACCGCGCACACGCGCUCUGCUCCAGGUGCGUGGGAGCGGGCUGGAAGAGAGGAGCCCCCGGGGCUGCUCUGCUAACAAAGCCCCCCCGGCGCAGGCUGCGGUCGGACCUCGCUAAAAACCUGCUUAGUGAUAUUUUAUCCUCUCCUAUUUCUUCUCUCUCUCUCUCUCUAUUUUUUUUUUUCUUUUUUCUUUUUUUUUUUUUCCCCGGCUUUGGGCUUGAUCCCGGCCUCCCAUUGAAGGCCAACUUGGCGAUCGUGUCUGCACUUUCCCUGUGAGUUCGCUGUUGCUGGGGAGGUCUGCAGGGAGGGGAUCCCCAGGACGGGUCCCGCAGCCCGGCGCUCCCCUCCGGCAGCGCAGGCACAGAGCCUCCCGCACCUCCGCCGCGAGCCCCAGAAGUUGGGACGUAAUAUGUAUUACAAUGUCUGGCAAAUAAUAGGGAGAAAAAAAAAAGGGGGGGGGGGGGGGGGGGGGGGGGGGGGGGAGAAAGAAAGAAAGAAAGAAAAAAAAGCAAUUGGCAAAUCUGCAUUCCGUUCCCAUGGCGACACAAAGCACCGCGCUCUCCGCCGAGCCGCCCCGGCACGUUUUUGCAGCCGGUGUGGGGUGAGCACCCCCGCCUGGGGUUGGAGUCCCUGGGUGCCCCGUGGGGCACUCAUAGGGUACGGCCGCAGCCCCUCGCCCGGUGCCCGCGGGGACGAUCCCUGCGCCCUCGGGGGCCGUGGCAGCCCCGGGGCGGGGGGGAUGCAGAAGGAGCCGUCCCCGCCGCCUUCCCGGGGCUCUUCGCUGCCCCCGCGGUGCGGGAGAGGAGCGAGAUGGGCAGGAUGCUGCCGCUCUCCCUCUGCUUGCACGUAUGGGUGCGGGUGCCCGGCCCCGUCCUUUUGGCACAGGGCAGAGGGCAGCAUCGGGGCCCGAGCCCGCGCCCAUCUGGGUGCAAGAGAGCGAAAAGUGGAAGCUCCGCGCACCCCGGGGGGCUCUGCACCAUCCCCAGCGCAGGGCCGGCAUCAGCCGCCGCAGAGACCCUUUCCAGGGCCAAACCACCGCCGUAACCCCAUCAGGAGAAAGGAUCUCAGCCUGAAUUCGGCUGUACCGUGGGAAAGCAAAGUUCCAAGGAGCGCUGUUAAUAGAGAUUCUAAUGAGGAGUCAUUGGAGAAAUUAAAAAGGGGCAGAGAGAGACGGCGGCGGCGGCGCUAAUUCCGCAGGAAACCUCCCAGGGAAAGGCAGCGCAGGCGGGAGCGCUGGGAAGCAUGAAGGCCUGGAAUUAGACUAUCAUUUAGAGAGCGUUACUAAUCUGAAGUUACAGCAGUAAUUCCGUGAUUUGCUGGGUCCCACACGCAGCGCCGGAAUUAAAGAUACGGAUUUGAGAGAAACGUAACUCAACGGCGGCUCCGCGGCUCGGCGAGCGCCGAAUGAAUCAUUCAUUCCAAAGGCAGCCAAAGACGUGUCAUUAGGAGCCGACCUCCUCCUCUCCAUCUGGAAUAUGCGCGCUCCGUGCGAGCCCAGAAAUUGUGGAAGGGAUCGGAGGUGGGAGGAGGGAACGCGGCCCUUCCGCUGCUCCGUUACAUCGGUUAUUUAUAAGAAAUAAUCUUCCCAUUGCUUUGCGCAAUGUUGUGGUUGGUGCUCUGUUCCUCUCCUGCUUUAUUUUCCCUCCCGUGCGAUAGCGCCGAGUCAGGUGCGAGCGUUGAGGUGGAGAUGCUUUAAAACUGGAGCGAACAAAGCGAGCAAGGUGCUUGAUGAAUGCAUUUAUUCCGGAGUAAUGAUUUGAUGGGGGAUGGAAGAAAGAAACAUUCAAAUUCCUAAUGAAUGUAAUUCAGGGGGAAGCGUUGGAGCGGUGGUGGAGGAGAGCUGCGUUGCUGGAGUGCUGCUGUGUGGCACAGCCCAGGAGGUAGUUCUGUCCAUGGCUUUUGUAGUGGCAAAAGGUGGGCAUUUAAAAAGAAAAUCCAAGGAAAAGAAAGUGUGUGUAUAUAUAUAUAUAUAUAUAUGUACACAUAUACGCACACAUAUAAGAAAUGUGUUUGUGUGUGCGUGUGUAAAUACAUAUAUAUGAUUUAUGAAAUAAAAUGGAAGUGUGGCGAUCAGGGUGUGCACGUGAACUCCUACCAAGGACAAGGCAAGCUCUGUCGCCGUGCUCUUGGGUGCUCAGACAGCAUCCUCAGCUCCCCAGUUUCCCCUCCCCGAAGCCCCGUGCUCUCAGCUGACUGUUGGGGUGUUUUGCAGGCGGUAGGGCUGGCCCACGUAUCCCGGAGCUGAUCCCCCACAGUAGGUUUGAGGCAGGGAUGGAGCACUUUGCCCUUUAUGUUCCGGGCAAGAGGAGCUGUGGUCACAUUUUUGCUGGGGUUUCAUUCUUCGUUUUCACCCUGGGAGUCGGCAGUGAGGGUGCACCCAUCCGCACCGCAGUGCCCACCUCGCAGCCCAGUGCCACUUCUCCGCUUUCUGCCUUCUGAUGGGUCGCUGGCCCACCUCCUUUGGACGUGGGAUGGGUUUUGGUGAGCAGGGCCACACCUGAAGCAUCCCAGCAGCCUGCUGCCGCUUGGCCCUGCGCCCUGCUGGUGUCAGUGUCACUGUCAGCCCAAACCUUCCUCCCAAAUCCAGAAGGACGGUGCCUGCUGGUGCUCUCAUCGCUUGUGGGGCGGUGCGGCGCUGCAGGCAGGGAGCAGAGCGUGGCUCCCAGGUCCCUCCUGCUGCUGGUGGCGGUCCCUUUGCAGAGGCCCCUGGAGCAGAACGGAGGUGUAAUGCUGAGGAGCUGCAGGGCAGAGCACAGCUUUGGUCACUUUGGAGUUGGAGAUCUUGAGCCGGGGAGGAGAUCCCAGUGAGGGGAGAAGGGAUGUCCCCAGCCUGACAGCUCCUUCCUGGCUGCGCUCUGCCCGCUCUCUGCCCGAUGUCUCCGGGAUUCUCCAGGAGGGACCCAACCUGCCGUGGCCCCAGCAAGAGGCAGCAUUGGCUGCUGGACGUGGAGGGGUUCUGCAUUGCUUCGCACCUGUGGGGAGGGAGCCAGGGGAUGGGGAGCCUGGCAAAAAUCCCGUGUAACUCCUGUAUGUCACCUCCAGGACCCAAAUACCCCUGGGCAGAGAGGUGUGAGCACCGUCCCAGCUGGGUGUGGGGAUGUUGGUGGGAGCAGGAGGGAGGUCUGAGCGGGAUGGAUGCCAUGUUAAGGGGCUCUGCUCAUGGAGCAGAGCUUGGCCUACGCUGUGCGUGCGUGCGUGAUGGACUGAGCGUGGGCUGACCACGCCUGGUCCAGGCGGUGUUCCAUUGCACUGUAAGAAAAAUGCACUGUAAUUCCCCCCUAAUUAAAAUCAACCCCACCCCGUGCACUGUUGCAAAUAAACACUCCUUUCUGCAAAAGCGAGCUGUGUGAUGUGGUGCAGUACUGAGACGGAG